rnacentral:rRNA from 1 species
AUGUGAUCGUCUCUCGCAUAUCAAUAAGCGGAGGAAAAGAAACUAACAAGGAUUCCCCUAGUAACGGCGAGUGAAGCGGGAAGAGCUCAAAUUUGAAAUCUUAAAGGGUUUCCCUUUACGAAUUGUAGUUUAAAGAAGUGUUUUCUGUUGAGGUUUUGGUAAAAGUUCUUUGGAAUAGGACAUCAUAGAGGGUGAGAAUCCCGUAUUUGACCCUUACUUUCAACUUUGUGAUACACUUUCAAAGAGUCGGAUUGUUUGGGAAUGCAGUCCAAAAUGGGUGGUAAAUUUCAUCUAAAGCUAAAUAUUGGCGAGAGACCGAUAGCGAACAAGUACCGUGAGGGAAAGAUGAAAAGAACUUUGAAAAGAGAGUUAAACAGUACGUGAAAUUGUCAAAAGGGAAGCGUUUGACACCAGUGUUGUUUUUCUGAAAAUCAAUUAAAGGACUGUUUAUGCUAAGUUGUUUAGACUUUAUCAGCUAUCUAGCUUAGUUUUGAGCUUUUCUUUAAUGCACUUUUCAGUUAACAAGUCAACAUCAAUUUCUUUUGCUGUAAAAAAGCUUGAGGAAGGUGGCUUGAGAUUCGUCUUAAGUGUUUAUAGCCUCUUGCCUAUGCAGUCGGAGAGAUUGAGGUCCUGCAGCGUAGAUCCUUCGGGGCUAAAUGCAUUUGUGCUAAGUUAUAGCAUUUUAUAGACAACUUGUUGACUAUGAUUUGUCUUGUAGCUUACUCGCUUAUGUUAUUUUACCUACGCUUAGGAUGUUGACGCGCGUGUGUGCGUG